AGGAAGUACCCUGAAGGAAAUCACCGGAGCAUGGGGCAGAGAUGUGAAGACUGAAAGAGAUGUGAAGAGUGAAGAUCAGGUGGGAGGGGAGGCAUCUCUGAGGAGCUGAGUCCUGAGGGGUGAGGACAGGUGAGAAGAGCAGGUGACACAGGGAACAGCAAGCGUCAAGCCCUCGGGUGGAAAGAGCGUGACGAGCUCCACCAAGCAGAAAGGGGCCCCGGCUGCUGGAGCGAGUGGGCAGGGCCGAGGGCAGAGGAGGGCUCGAGGGAGGCCGCCCAGUCACUUACGGGCUGAGGAGCACAAGGUCAGGUUUUAUGUCAGAGUCAUGAAAAGCCACGAAGGUUUUAACAAGGCCAUGCCGUGACCUCAGUUAAGCAAGGAAGAGAAUGUAAAUAAAAAAUGCCUUUUUCCUUUCACGUUUUGCCAAGCAUCCCUGCAACUUUGUGUCCAGAUUAGCAAGAACCAAGUAUCCUUCCUCUCCUCAGGGACGUUAUCAUUUUCACAGCUGUCAGCCCAGGGCCUCCACGACUUUCUCCAGAGUCGUAUCUUAUUCCGGUGCUUUGAAUGGGGGGAGAAGGUUGUGAAAUGACACCUACUACUGGGAUUUGUGCAUAACACAGAUGAGGUCAUCAAUAGCAAUGAGAGUAGUUAAGACCACUGCUAAGUAUAACAUACAGCUGGCACCACUGUGAGCAAAACUGUGUGCCAGUCACUUUUAAAUGCUUCCGAUGCAUAUAUGAGAUAGCAUAUCAGCACUAACCCAAACCCUCGCCUUUCUUACGAGAUAGAUGCCACGAAAUCUCCCAUUUUACAGCAGGUAUAACUGAGGCUCAGAGAGGUCAAGUAACUCGCCGAAGGUCACACAGCAGGUUAAGUCCCGAGCAGAAUCUGAACUCCUACCUGGGUCCAUAGCCCGUUUUUUUUGCUGGCCUCUAGUACCUCCCAGUGAACGAAAGUGGAAAUACAGGACAAAUGCAGGAGAUGGUGAUGUUGAUAGUUACCGAGCGAUUGUCUGGGUCAAGAAACAGAGUUCAGGAAGCUGUUCUCUUUCAUCUCUCCCUAGGCAGUCAUGUCCAUGCCCUGAGCUUUCAGAACCCUCUACAUUAGCCCACACCUGUGUGCUGAGCUGCAGAUUCUCAUUCCCAACGACCUGCUGGACACUUAGAUGUCUCAUGGGCACCUGAAAGGUGACCGGUGCAAAACAGGAUCCUCACUUUACCCCAUAAACCUGUUCUUCCCCCACCCCACCAUCUUUCCAGCCUCAUAAGUGGCCCCACCACCCAGUCUUCACUGGAGCCAGGAACCUGGGAGUCACCCCUGAUUCUUCUCUCUCCCGCCCCCCCCCCCCGUUUCCAAUCUAUCACCAACUCCUGUUUAUUUCCAUGCAGAGCUUGUCCCUAAUCUAUCCACUCCCUGCGUCUUCAUUAUCAGCUCAAGGUUUCAGCACCAUUGGCUCCAGCUGGGAUUGGAAGUAGUAAUGAAAGUAAUACCAAGGCUUAUAGUUAGGAUUGGCUGUACUUUCUGGUUUGCCCGGGUCAGUCUUGAUUUUCACUAAUUGAUCCUGUUGUGGCUCAAUGAUCGCCAAUGAAUGUUUUUAGUGCCUCUCUCCCUCUCAAGAGCGUCGCAGUUUGGACCUCACGUAUAUGGUCACCCAAGCUAUGAGACCUCCGUGACCCAGCCACCCCAUGUCUUCAGCUUAUUCCCAUUAUAGAUCACCACGCCGACCACAUUAGCUCCAUCUGAGGCCACUUCAAGCGCUUGUUCCAGAGCUUGAACUCUUGGCUUGAGACAUUGGCUCAUCUUGUUCCUGCCUGUGACACUUUCCUGACCAUUUUCACACAGCUCACUUCUCAGGUCCCAGCUCAAAGGUCCCCUCCUCGUGAGGGCAGCCAUCCUCUGAAUAUGUCUCCCCUGUGCCCUGUGAGCCUCUCAUCACUUUCUUUCUUCAUCUGUUUAUUGUUUAUCUCCGUGAUUGGAAUCAAAAGCCCAUGAGGACCACCCCCUUCUUUCCCCCUGCUACAUUACUAGCAGCAAGCAUAGGGGCUGACACGUGAUGGGUGCUCAAUAGUUGUUCAAAGACUCAGUGAAUGACGGACCGGCUGGCUGGAUGAAUGGAUGGAUCCAUCAUCCUGAUCCCAGGGAAGAAGUUCACAGCACAAUAGGAUCCACUGUGACUUGAGAUUUAAGAAAGGGAUUUUGAGGGAAUUAAAUGAAGAAGAAACGUUUAGCCACCAUCUUGACAACUUUACUUUGGCUGUUCUCGGGCUGCCCUUUGCAACAUCACCGUAAUCCCCUUCACACGUAUAUAUGUUCUCCAGUUUGGACCCCACACCAAUUUCUGUGAGGUUCAGAGAGCUGUUCUGGCUCAGGAAGUUAGAGCCAGAGUGAGGGUAUGGUUCUGCCUGGAGGCAGUGUAGGAAUUAAGAGCUUAGGCUCUAGGGUCAGAGUGUUUGGUCUGGAGCAACCCCCCUCUGCCACUUAUUAGCAGUAUUGCUUUAAGCCAGGCGCU